UACGGAGGGUGCAAGCGUUAUCCGGAUUCACUGGGUUUAAAGGGUGCGUAGGCGGAUAGGGAAGUCCGUGGUGAAAUCCUGCAGCUUAACUGCAGAACUGCCGUGGAUACUCUCUAUCUGAAUAUCGUGGAGGUUAGCGGAAUAUGUCAUGUAGCGGUGAAAUGCUUAGAUAUGACAUAGAACACCCAUUGCGAAGGCAGCUAACUACGCGAUCAUUGACGCUGAUGCACGAAAGCGUGGGGAUCAAACAGG
rnacentral:rRNA from 1 species